rnacentral:rRNA from 1 species
CACGUAGGCACCAAGCGUUGUCCGGAUUUAUUGGGCGUAAAGAGCUCGUAGGCGGUUCAGUAAGUCGGGUGUGAAAUCUCGGAGCUUAACUCCGAAACUGCAUUCGAUACUGCCGUGCUUGAGGACUGGAGAGGAGACUGGAAUUUACGGUGUAGCGGUGAAAUGCGCAGAUAUCAGGAGGAACACCGGUGGCGAAGGCGGGACUCUGGGCCGAUACUGACGCUGAGGAGCGAAAGCGUGGGGAGCAAACAGG